AUUGAACGCUGGCGGCAGGCCUAACACAUGCAAGUCGAGCGAGCGGCGGACGGGUGUGUAAUGUCUGGGAAACUGCCUGAUGGAGGGGGAUAACUACUGGAAACGGUAGCUAAUACCGCAUACCAUCAGAUGUGCACAGUUGGGAAGAGAUGGUAGGUGGGGUAAGGGCUCACAUAGGCGACGAGCUCAAGCUGGUCUGAGAGGAUGACCAGCAACACGGGAGCGAGGACACGGUGCAGCCUCCUAAGGGAGGCAGCGGUCGGGAUUAUUGGACAAGGGGCGGAAGGCAGAUGCAGCCAUGCCGCGUGAGUGAAGAGGGCCUUCGGGGUGUAAAGCACGUUCAGUGGGGAGGCGGUACCCGCAGAAGAAGCACCGGCUAACUCCGUGCCAGCAGCCGCGGUAAUUC
rnacentral:rRNA from 1 species